UACGAACCGUGCGAACGUUAUUCGGAAUCACUGGGCUUAAAGCGCGUGUAGGCGGGGCGGCACGUCGGCCGUUGAAAGCCCCCGGCUCAACCGGGGAAGCGGCGCCGAUACGACCGUCCUGGAGGGACGUAGGGGGACCUGGAACUUCCGGUGGAGCGGUGAAAUGCGUUGAGAUCGGAAGGAACGCCCGCGGCGAAAGCGCGGUCCUGGACGCCUGCUGACGCUGAGACGCGAAAGCCAGGGGAGCGAACGGG
rnacentral:rRNA from 1 species